GAGUGCAGAGCAUGUCUCUCUCCACCCAGUGCUCAAGGUCAAGGGUUUAAGCUGUGGAAGGAGAUCAUUGUGGCCUUUAUCCUGUGAUGCUAAACAGACCUUCAAACCUCCUGCUCAUGUAUCUGGGACACCUGUCGGAAAGGUAGUGUGGGAUAACUAAAGAGAGCUCGAUUCGGAUCACCGAGAGGCCCCUCUCCAUUUCCAGCCCUGGCACUUUGAACAAGGCCUGCACCAUAUUUGAAACUUUUUGCUUACCUCUAAAAUGGGGACAACCAUGUCUACUUUGCAGAUUUAUCGUGGGGGAAAAAAGCCUGUGAAAUUUCUAGCAUGUAGUCAGUGUUCAAUUUAACAGUGUUCCUUUUCCUCUUUCCCUUUGAUUCAUCCAGGUGGGGUGAGGAGGGAUGGUGGCCCAGAGGUCAUGUGAGAGAUGACAAGUGUAGACAUCCCUGCAACUUCUGUUCUCAUGCUCCCUCUGCUUCCAAAUUCCACGGUCAUAGCCUGCACCCUGGGAGGCUCCGAACACUCCAGAGCGGGGGUGUCUGAAAAAUAAAGUUGCCACUCCAUUUCUACCCCCAGUUGCAUUUGGUCACCACAUAAUGAAAUGAUUUUCCUUCCCUCCUUUGUUUCCUCUCUUUCUUUCCUUCUGAGACAAAUGGAAAAAUAAUUUGAUCCCCUUGAAUCUUUUCACCCUCGGUAUUUUCCCCCUUCACACCCGAGCACCGCCCCUUGAUAAAUGAGAACACAUGUGCUGAAAGCUGCGCCUUCACCCUCCUGACUCAGGGUCCCCCUCCUCUGGGGACACGGGUUUACUUUCAAACCUUCAGAAUAAAUUCAUCACAGCAGGAAGAACAUUGUUUUUCUUCAAAACUUGAAAAAAAAAAUCAAAUCCCAUAUCACAAUUAUUUCCAUUUCAGAGAGAAAUUGUUGCGUUUUCAUCUCAAACUUUCUUCUCCCCAACUCUGAAGGCUGCAGCCGAGGUGCCGCGCAGACUCAGUUGGGCUGCUUUUGCAAAGUCGGCACAGAUUCAUCACUUCGGGGAGCCAAAGGGUGACACAUACAUAUUUUGAAUAUUACCCUGUGUGGAGAGCUGCAUCACGGCUUGACUUGGGGAGCUUCCACGUCUUCACGUCUUCACACGUGGACCUUUUCCAUGGAGAUUUUACUUAAAAAAUAAUCCUCGAUACAAUUCUUUCAUUUGAAUUUUCUGAAAAAAUAUGCUGAGAACUUCCGUAUGUUAUUCCACUGUAGUUCCUCUACCAUCCUAGCCCCUUGGAAAACAAACCCCUUUCUCUUUAACAAAAAACACACAAUGACAAAUGCCCGGUGCUGUAGGAAUUAAGCUCUUUGGUUUGACCACCGUCUGUAGCAGACCUCAGAGAAGCGGGACAUCCUCUUGAACUGAAACAUCCGCGCAAGAAUUCCUCUAAACUUCCUUGCACUUCAUUGUAAGGAAAACUCCUUGACACUGAGCAUACUUCUCCGUCGCUGCCAGGCGUCUUUCUGUUUAUGUAGCCUUUGUUUACACAUGC
rnacentral:lncRNA from 1 species